rnacentral:rRNA from 1 species
UACAGAGGGUGCAAGCGUUGCUCGGAUUUACUGGGCGUAAAGCGUACGCAGACGGCUGGAAAGGUCGGACGUGAAAGCCCCGGGCUCAACCCGGGAAAUGCGUCCGAAACCAUUCGGCUUGAGUAUGAGAGAGGAAAGCGGAAUUCCUGGUGUAGAGGUGAAAUUCGUAGAUAUCAGGAGGAACACCGGCGGCGAAGGCGCUUUCUGGCUCAUUACUGACGUUCAGGUACGAAAGCGUGGGUAGCAAACAGG